GUUUCUUGGUUCCUUUUUCUUUAGCUUUUGAGCGCCGCGUAUGGAAGGAGGACCUUCCUGAUGGCAUGAUGGCACCAAGGCAGCUGUCCUUGACUAAAACAGGGACCGAGAACCUCAUGCAGCAGGUGGCCCAGCCCAGCUGGAAGAUUCCAGAAGCCAGUCCUGGCGGCCCGGCCCUCGCCAUCCAGGAGGGCCGCGCUGAAUCUCAGCCCCUACCUCCCCACCAGCUGCUCCAGACGUCAUCUCAGGACGCACAUCGAACAUAAGAAACUCGUGCUUUGCAAAGGAAGGAGCCAGGGAUGUGUGACGCUGACCUGCCGUGUGCUUCCCUUGUAAUUCGGGGCUUUUCCAUGUGUGAGAGGAGAAGAGUGCCAGCUCCCCAUUUUACAGCCGAGGACACCUGGCUUAACGCGGCCGAGGAUCGUGGGGCGGGCACGUGACCUCCGGCCUCUGACGCUCCCUGACGCUCGGAGACGGGCCGGUGCUCUCCGUGCCAGCAGGUCAACCAGCUCUGGCCAUUCUACAGCUCCUCGUUCAUUACUCUGCUUUCAAACUUCCUUGUAUUUUAUUUAAACAUGUUAAUUGCA